UUGUUUCAUAUUGUCAUUAUUAAAAUUUAUAUUUUUAUAUUUUUUCAUUUGGAACUAUUUCCUUUGGUUUUUUUUCUUUUCAGAGUGGUUGUUGUUUUACAAUAUUUGAAUUACUUUUGUAUAUUUGAAUGUUAGACUUUUAUCAAAGAAAUUUUUGGUGAAGAUUCCCCUCUCCAUUAAUUGCUUCCUUCUGAUUCUAACUAUGUUUCUUUUGACUGUGCAAAAGCCUUUCAAGUUUAUGUAAAUGAAAUCCACAACUUUAUCUUUUAUGAUAAUCUCUGCCCCUUGCUAAGGAGUAUCUCCCAUCAUGGGAGAGCCUUUCACAGCUCUGACUGUUGGAAUCAUCUGCCAGCCCUGACACCCCCUGUUCUAAGGCCCCUCCCCCUGAUACCCCCUGUUCUAGGGCCCCUCUCCCUGACAUCCCCUGUUCUAAGCCCCCUCCCAGUCUUAACAGUCUAUGGUGCUCCUCAGUUUCCAAAGUUUGCUUCCCCCCAGAUGAAAUAAUAUUAAUGGUAACAAACGAUCACAAAAUGUGGGGCAGGAGCUCUUCUAGGAUCUUUAAGCCAUAGAAACAUUCUCGUCCCACCCCAAAGAAACGUCAAGUCCUGGCCCAGUGCUCUGUGAUGGGAUCAAUGACAAGAACCCCAAAUCUUCUGCUCAAUUGCAUUCAGCUCCAUGGUCCCCGGAGGAAUCUAAUCAGCAUCUCCACACCCAAAAUUAUUCUCUGCUUUCCUCCCAUUUUCUCACCCCCCCAUUAGUUUGGGGGGCUCUCCACAGGGCCUGGCAGGCUCCCAGACCAUUCACACAUCUACAUCCACCCACCAUCAAGGCCCUACCUGUGGCAAAAAAGCAGCAAUCCAUCUUUCACAGCCGUAACUAGACAACCGCUAAUUAGCUGCUGAAGUUCCUCAGGAUCAGAGACACUUUCAGUGGGUGAACAGUUCCUGUUUAAUAAAAAGUGUAAUUUCCA